rnacentral:lncRNA from 10 species
GCUGCCACCGUGUCGGAGGCGAGGCGAGGAAGGGAGCUGGAAUAACAAAGGGAGGUAAUGGGGUAGAUUGGAUACCUCUGGGGUCUUGGAAGAAGCUAUGACUUAUUUACUGUCUACUAUGUGAGUUUUGGGCAUCCUUCUAUCAGCCCUUAUCCCAGGGCAGGAAGAACAGCCUUGAUCCUGGAUCCCAGGCACAGCUGGGUGUCAGACCUGGAGGAGAAGCUCCCAGAGUGACCAAGAUAGAAUCGGCAUGCAGCUGAAGCCACUUGCUCAGAGCCGCACAGCAAGCCCACCACCCUGAACCUCCAGAUUACCAACUCAGCAUUGUGUCCUGACAGUGUCAUCAUAGAUGGUCAACACCGUCACCUGGGCAGCACUGAAGCCCAGAGCGGGAGAGACUGGCUCAAGACCAUGGGCCCUGACAUUCUCCAGCUUUCAUGGUGUUCCUGCAAUCCAAGUGCCGCUUAUCUCUCUACAGGUCCACCAGAUGACCGGCUGGCCUCCUAAUUGGGCUUCCUGCAUUCCUGCCUGUGCUCGGAGCUCCCUUCUCCACUUGCCUGCUGGAGGAGGUUUACAAACAAAAUCAGAUCAUGGCACUCCCCUGGGGCCCUGCAUCCUGUGGCCAGCAGGUCUUGGAAACGCCCCUGUACCCCAGAAACUUCCUGAUCAGUCCCUGGUCAGUGUAUAUCAUGCUUCCUGUGACAUGACAUCAACUUUUCAGUGACUUCCACUGGUUUUGGCCCAGCUCGAAGAGCCUGACACCUCUGCAGGGAAUUCUACCAGGGAGCUCAGGAGGGGGAAUUGCACUGAAGAUUUGUCCCAUCGUGAAGCAAGAGCACUGGAACUUACACUCCACCAUCAGGCCCUGUCACAGGAGAACAAAGAAGGAAGGCAGAGGAGAUCAUGCUCCGGCCAGCAGGGAAUCUCCAUUUUUUUCAGCCUCAUACCUUGGAAAGUACAAAGGAGUGAGAGCUGGGACUACCAGCCAGAGGGUUCAUGGAGGUAGUGGGAGGGGAAGAUGGGUUCUGCAUGGAGCCACUCCAGGGACUUUUCUUCUGUCUCACAGCCUGACAAUCACCUCUAGCUGUUCUCAGUCCCAUUCUCAUCAAUGACCUCGUCUCCUGAUUUUGUACAAUAUCUAGGUGACCUUCUCUUCUUUCCAUCUUCAAACGCUUGAUCAUUGAUGCUCCCUUUUCUCUUCUCUCUCCUCCUGGGAAAAGAGAAGGACCAACAUCCCCCUUUCCCUUCCUCCUGUGCUGUCCCGACCCCUCUGAGACCUGGCUCUAGCAGUAAGUCCCUCUCUCUUCUGCAGCACCAGCCUCUGCCCAUCCCUGCCCUCUGCACACAAAGCUCUCACAUUGUCUGCACUUUAAGAACUUUUGUGGCAAACCCUGGCAAAUCCUGCCACUUGUUUCCACUCUUCUCAAAUGGCUUUGAGGUCAUCAUUGACCUAUCCCAUUUGACCCUGUCCUGUAUCUGAUGUUGUACCCUUUCUCCUUGAUCCCACUCUGGCAACUCUCCCACUCCCCUUUCUUGGAUCAACUGUCUUGCUCCUCAGUCUUGAUCAAUGCCUCCUUCUCUCUCUUUAGCCUUGGCCCUUUUUGGCCAGGGAAAUAAAUGUGAAAUACAUAAAGCUUCAUUUUAUCUUAUGAUUAUAGCUAUGUUGAUGUUACCCAAGACCUAAAAGUCACACUCUCUAAUUACACUUCCCUCCUGUGUUCUGGGUCCUCUUGGACCAGUCCUUACUCUGGCUCCCCUCCUGGAUGUCUCCCAGACUUCUAAUUAGAAUUACUGUUUCCUAUAUCAAGCUAAUUAUCUUUCCCACCAACCUCCUCCAUCCUUGGGUGAAAGCAUCACUUGGUUGCAAAAGUCAGAAAUCUGGGUUUCAUUCUUGCGGUAGGUAGAAUAAUGCCCCCAGGCCCCAGGUUUUGACAUCCGAAUCCCUGGGACUUUGCAGAUGUGAUUCAGUUUAGGAUUUUGAGAUGGGGAGAUUAUCUGGGAGAGCCUGAUGUCAUCAUAAGGUUCUUAUAAGAGGGAGGCAGGAGGGUUAGAGUGAGUAGUAAGAGAUGCAACAGUGGAAGCAAGAGGUUGGGGUGAUGUGGCCACAAGCCCAGGAGUGCUGACAGACAUCAGAAGCUGGAAGGGACAAGGAAUGGUUUCUCCUCUGGAGCCUCCAGAAAGAACCAGCCCUGCUGACACCUUGAUUUUAGCCUUGGAAGACUCAUUUUGGACUUCUGACCUUGAACGUUGUAAGAGAAUAAAUUUACAUAUUUUAAACUGGUA